rnacentral:piRNA from 1 species
UUUUGGAAUUUCCUUGGGGCAUGGUU